rnacentral:tRNA from 1 species
GAGGAGUAGCGAAGUGGCUAAACGCGACGGACUGUAAAUCCGUUCCUUAGGGUUCAGUGGUUCGAAUCCAGCUACCCCA